UACGUAGGUGGCGAGCGUUGUCCGGAUUUACUGGGCGUAAAGAGCGCGCAGGCGGUCGUUCAAGUCGCGUGUGAAAGCCCCCGGCUCAACUGGGGAGGGUCACGCGAUACUGAUCGACUCGAAGGCAGGAGAGGGUAGUGGAAUUCCCGGUGUAGUGGUGAAAUUCGUAGAUAUUCGGAAGAACACCAGUGGCGAAGGCGACUCGCUGGACAAGUAUUGACGCUGAGGUGCGAAAGCGUGGGGAGCAAACAGG
rnacentral:rRNA from 1 species